CCGAGUUAUACAACUCAUCAACCCCUGUGAACUUACCUAUAACGUUUGCUUCGGCGGGAACAGACGGCCCCGUAAAACGGGCCGCCCCCGCCAGAGGACCCCUAACUCUGUUUUUGUAAUGUUUUUCUGAGGUAAACAAGCAAAUAAAUUA
rnacentral:misc_RNA from 1 species